GACAUUAAGCAUGCAUUCAGAGACCAUAUUCAGGAAGCAAUCAAGAUAGCUAUUUGUGGAGAUAUCUCUGAAGGUAUCUACUCAUUUUUCAGCUGUGAUUAAAAAUCAGAUACAAUGCUGAGCUUCUUAAUAAAUGGGAUGAAAAAUGAUAGAGAUGAUAUUCUUAUAAUAAUGUUAUAAAAAGUAUGCCUGCCCUAGGAUGGCUGUGUUCAGUUCAGGCCUCUCCAUCUCAAAACUACCCAAGAGAUGUAAAAGACAUUUAGAGAUAUGAAUCAGGGCUCUGCUUGACACACAGAGAUGGAAUAAUAUCGGCUGACUGACAAAGUUAUCAUCUCUGUCUGUAGUGCCGACGGUGCACGGACAGCUCAGAUGCUCAUGAAUCAGCUGGUUUACAACACAGCAGCAGUUUAAAGUAAACCGUUAGCUUUGCCAACCUAUAACUUCUCUGCUUGUCAGUCAGAUCUUUCAAACUGAUUAGGAGCAUAUGAAACUCCCAUGUGAAGCAAGAUUGAAAAGAUCAAGACUCCCUGCUUGGUAAGGAGCGGCACAAGUGACAGAUGAAAGAGAACAUGGCACAAAUGCACACGGUAGUGAAGACAGAGGGACGUAAGUGUGACUGUUACCCCUUCCGACCAAAGAAAAACCGAGGAUGGCCUGAUGACAUGGAAAGGUGGCUGUUGCAGAGAGAGGGAAGGAAACACCUUGCCCUGCAAAAGCAAGCACAGAAGAUGACACAGGAAGCGGUCGAACUUGUUGAUCAUCAGUAUUCUGGGGGCCCAGGGAGAUUCAGAAAAAAAAAUUGGAAAUAAUAUAAGCAAAUGAUCAUUCCCUAUGAGAAAGGAAGAAGUUCCCCCACCCCUAAGGAGUUAAGUCAUGUUGUAAUUUGUGGUAAAAGGCAUUGUCUGAAGGAAGAGAAUGCAAAGCAUCCAAAGUCCUGUUCAGUCUGACAAAUCACAAUGAGUAAAGAAUGAAGAAAGAAAUGCCUGAAUAGAACCAAAGAAGCUGUUAGGAUAUCAAGUACGUAGGUAGAAAGCAGCUGGAGAAGUAGCUAGAUGUCAAGAGAAAACAUAAUGGAAAAGGAAGAAUCAAGAAUAUAUCCCAGUUUAACUCCAUCUUGCACAGUUUCAAAGGCCACUCCAAAGCAGCUCAGGAAGGCUUGUGCUUAAUAUUAGACUAGAAUUCAAAUCAUCUCAUUACUGAACCUUGUAGAGGCAAAGGUGACCCUGAUUCACUGAAGAGGUUACUUGCGUCAGGAUUUCAGUCUGGAUGGACAGUGAAUUCACCAUUCUUCUGAACCUUCUGUACUGCUGGGCAAGAUACGGAUGGAGUCUUGCCAUUGAGGGGACAGCGUGAAAGGAAGAAAAUCUGCCUCUGAAAGAGAGCUAAUAGGGAGUUGCUUUCCUACCUGGAGUACAGAAGGAACCAGAAUUUAACUCGCUGUACCUACUUCAAUGGUGCCCCUGCAGAGAAUGAGAUUUGUUUCCUGGAAGUUUGUAUAUUAUGGCUGCUACCAAUUUGUUGUGUUAAAUUUUAACAGUCUGUGUUAAUGGUGCAUUGUCUACCAAUCUGUUACCAGUUUGUUGCAUCCAAUUUACAGACUACAUUGUUCAAAUUCUCCAUCAAUUUGUUGCAUUACUGCCUGUGCAGUUUAUGUGGCCCAAAGGA